rnacentral:rRNA from 1 species
UACGGAGGGUGCAAGCGUUAUCCGGAUUCACUGGGUUUAAAGGGUGCGUAGGAGGGCAGGUAAGUCAGUGGUGAAAGCCCUGGGCUCAACCCGGGAACUGCCAUUGAUACUAUCAGUCUUGAAUGUUAUUGAGGUUUGCGGAAUGGGUCAUGUAGCGGUGAAAUGCAUAGAUAUGACCCGGAACACCAGUUGCGAAGGCAGCAGGCUAAACAAAUAUUGACGCUGAGGCUCGAAAGCGUGGGGAUCAAACAGG